rnacentral:lncRNA from 1 species
AAGCAGUAAAAGCUUCUUGUUCUCUGUGCUACGUUCCACUAACGUUUUCUUUCAGUUUUUUCAUGUUUUAAGUGUUUUAUUUCUGCAGUGUCUCGUUCACAGAAUGCACAGUAUGAGCGUGUGUAGCGUGCUUGGCGGCUUGGCCAUUCAAUCGUUGAUCGUCCCUCCUGCGCCUCCUGUGGCCCCUGUUAUGCUGAGGCUCUGAGAGGCUACGUGGUGGUGAUAACUCCUUGUUUGACCUAAAGUCUGUAAAUACCGUCACAAAGAUGGGAAAACGUUACCACUGUGACUACUGCGAUAAGACAUUCCCUGACAGUGCGAACAACCGGAAGAAGCAUUUGCAAGGCGCGUUUCACACGCGGAUGAAGAGAAUUCACUACGACGCAUUUCGUGACGCUGAAACGAUUUUUAAGGUCGAGUCAGUCAAGAAGCCGUGCAGGAGGUUUCAGCAAACAGGAGAAUGUGAUUAUGGCACGACGUGCAAGUUUUCACACUUAAGUCCUGGUGAAUUAGCCGAGUUGGCAGCGCAUGCAGAGGCUGAAAAGCAUGCUGCUAAACAGUGUGCUUCUGUACCCCUUCCUAAAAGUGUAACUAUAACAGAGUGGGCUAAUAAGCACUUCAAAACUCAGGAGAAGCUUCCGGAACCAUUUGCAUACAAAGAUAUGAUUGCUACACAAUUGUCGUUUUUCAACAACAACCUAAGCAUAUCUAUGCGAGCCCCUACUCUUGAUGAUUUGUUGGCAUGCAGGCCAAACCACUGGGGCUGAACUUUACUUAUUGCAGGCAACACGUGAAAGGUUGCGCAACAUUGCAAUGUCAGUAAAGUUUAUUGGAAGAAGUUUCUUGUACACUAUGCAGCAGUGGCAUCUGAAGAUUUUAACAUUUUUUUUUACUUAACAUUUCUCUCAAACUUGCACCUCUACUUUGUAAACACACAUUCCGUGCCCACCACAUUAUAAUUUCCCAUAACCGCAUUUGUACAUUGAACAUUCAUUGGAAAUAAAUAUUCCCUUGUUAAGAAAUGGUAUCUCCUA